CCGGGCCCUCGGGCAUCCUGAGGGAGGGUGGCAGAGUCCUGUCGGGGAGGAAGGCAGCAGGAUGAGCCCGGCGUGGACCUUGUGAGGGCCCUCCAAAGUCCAUCCUCUCCGUAGCCCUACAGCACGCCCCCACCCCGGGAACGGGCACUCCGUUCCGCUUGCCGCCACUGCAGCCACUAAAGGGUUAAUGCCAGGAGAGGCGGCGCCCGGGAGCGCGCUGGGAGCCGCUGGGAAGUGUAGUCCCUCAGGAAGGCGGUAGCAACUCUUCGAGGUGAGGUUCCCGAGCUGGGGGUGGGGGGUGCUGAAGGCUGUAGGGCAGGCUUCGGGGCAGUUACCUGGCUGGGAGGUGGCGGAGAAACCUGGCUUCCCACUGCCCGGCGCCGGCGGAUGCAGGAGCAGGUCUGAGGCCCCGGUCGCCCCUGUCUGUGGUUGGCGGAAGUCACCCAGCUAGCCUGGGACAGGGUCGGCACCCCCAGCAGGAAACAGCAGCGAGCCAGAGCGGAGCCGCCUGCAGCUGCGCGCAGGUGGUGCACAGGUGCGCGGUGCGCGCAGGCCCUAGGGACCCGUUGGGGACCCUAAGCACCAAGUCACAGUUAGACCCAGGUCAUAAACAAACAUCGUCACUGCUUGCCGGGUCGGAAGGGCAGCCAAGCAACAAAAAAAGGCAGGGAGGUAGACCCACUUCAGACGGUUCUGUGGGGAGUCUCUGAAAUCAGGAGGUGCCAGCCCCCAAAAAGUAGGAAACCCGACAGAUAGGCGGAAGGAACAGCCAGUGCCAAGGCCCUGAGGGGAGAAAGUCUGGCCACUGAAAGAACUCCAAGUCCCGUAUGGUUGGAGUGUAGCUGCGGGUAGUGCCAGGAGGUGGAGGCAGAGAAGCAAACAGGGCUCCAAUCAGGUCCGGCUGGGCCUCGGAAGGGCCUCCGUGUGGAGCCUGCACUUCAUUCAAAGUGUGUGCCUGACCCAUCGCCACGAUUUCCUCUCCUUCACACUUCCCUGCUUACCUUCCUCUCCUUAUUAGACAUAAUAAAAAUUAUGUGGCUUUGUAAGAAAUUGGUUUUUAGAGAUGCAUGUUAAAAGUACUGGGCGUGAAAUGUCAUGACUUGUCUAAUUUACUUGAAAAUACUUCUGCCAAAAUAAAUGGAGUUAACAAUAA